UAUUGGACAAUGGGGGGAACCCUGAUCCAGCGACGCCGCGUGAGUGAAGAAGUAUCUCGGUAUGUAAAGCUCUGUCAGCAGGGAAGAAAGAAAUGACGGUACCUGACCAAGAAGCCCCGGCUAACUACGUGCCAGCUGUCGCGGUAAUACGUAGGGGGCAAGCGUCAUCCGGAAUUACUGGGUGUAAAGGGAGCGUAGACGGUAUAGUAAGUCUGGAGUGAAAGGCGGGGGCCCAACCCCCGGACUGCUCUGGAAACUAUUAGACUGGAGUGCAGGAGAGGUAAGCGGAAUUCCUGGUGUAGCGGUGAAAUGCGUAGAUAUCAGGAGGAACAUCGGUGGCGAAGGCGGCUUACUGGACUGUAACUGACGUUGAGGCUCGAAAGCGUGGGGAGCAAACAGGA
rnacentral:rRNA from 1 species